rnacentral:rRNA from 1 species
UACGAAGGGUGCGAGCGUUAUUCGGAAUCACUGGGCGUAAAGCGUGCGUAGGCGGCCAAGUAAGUCAGAAGUGAAAUCCCAAGGCUUAACCAUGGAAUUGCUUUUGAAACUUCUUGUCUGGAGUAUGGUAGAGGAUAGCGGAAUUCCGAGUGUAGAGGUGAAAUUCGCAGAUAUUCGGAGGAACACCAGUUGCGAAGGCGGCUAUCUGGACCAUUACUGACGCUGAGGUACGAAAGCAUGGGGAGCAAACAGG